rnacentral:rRNA from 1 species
GACGAACGCUGGCGGCGUGCUUAACACAUGCAAGUCGAACGGAAAGGCCCUGCUUUUGUGGGGUGCUCGAGUGGCGAACGGGUGAGUAACACGUGAGUAACCUGCCCUUGACUUUGGGAUAACUUCAGGAAACUGGGGCUAAUACCGGAUAGGAGCUCCUGCUGCAUGGUGGGGGUGGGAAAGUUUCGGCGGUUGGGGCUGGACUCGCGGCUUAUCAGCUUGUUGGUGGGGUAGUGGCUUACCAAGGCUUUGACGGGUAGCCGGCCUGAGAGGGUGACCGGCCACAUUGGGACUGAGAUACGGCCCAGACUCCUACGGGAGGCAGCAGUGGGGAAUAUUGCACAAUGGGCGGAAGCCUGAUGCAGCAACGCCGCGUGCGGGAUGACGGCCUUCGGGUUGUAAACCGCUUUCGCCUGUGACGAAGCGUGAGUGACGGUAAUGGGUAAAGAAGCACCGGCUAACUACGUG